GAUAAACGCUAGCUACAGGCUUAACACAUGCAAGUCGAGGGGCAGCAUGAACAUAGCUUGCUAUGUUUGAUGGCGACCGGCGCACGGGUGCGUAACACGUAUCCAAUCUACCCAUGGCUCGGGGAUAGCCUUUCGAAAGAAAGAUUAAUACCCGAUGGUCUCGGUUUAAGGCAUCUUAGACUGAGUAAAGAUUUAUCGGCGAUGGAUGAGGAUGCGUCUGAUUAGGUAGAUGGCGGGGUAACGGCCCACCAUGCCUACGAUCAGUAGGGGUUCUGAUAGGAAGGUCCCCCACAUUGGAACUGAGACACGGUCAAAACUCCUACGGGAGGCAGCAGUGAGGAAUAUUGGUCAAUGGACGAGAGUCUGAACCAGCCAAGUAGCGUGAAGGAUGACUGCCCUAUGGGUUGUAAACUUCUUUUGUUUGGGAAUAAAGUUCGGGACGUGUCCCGUUUUGUAUGUACCAUUCGAAUAAGCAUCGGCUAAUUCCGUGCCAGCCGCCGCCGUAA
rnacentral:rRNA from 1 species